rnacentral:tRNA from 1 species
GGAGCAGUUGGUAGCUCGUCGGGCUCAUAACCCGAAGGUCGUUGGUUCAAGUCCUUCC